CGUUGUGAUCAAGGCUCUCCUUUUCGGGUUGCUAUGGGACAGAGACCCAGGUGAGUAACGGCCAGUGUUCCUCUCUUGGUUUGGGGAAUUGGUUUAAGUGUUUUCAUUGUAUUUUCAAACAUAAUCGAUAUAUAUCAAAGGGUUGAUGAUGGCCUGUUGAUAAAUAACCGUGAGAGCUUAUGCUGAUGAAGUGAUAAUCUAGAACCUGGAAAUUCAUUAACCAAGGAGAUCUCAUGUAUGGUGAUAAUGUUUGGAGAGAAGUUAGGGAUAUUCGCUGGUCUGGUUCUUGGGUUUUGGGUAUUCAUGUUUUUCUUUCAUUAGUAUUAAUAAUGUAAUGAUUUAAUUGAUAGAGAUGUACCAAUGAAUGAACUAAAAUUGGACCCAAGGGGACCAACGAUGAAGUUGGGUAGAGGAUGAGGCAUUAAUGGGCAAGGAACCAUAAGUAUCUGGAAGCCUGAGGACCAAGAAGUGUACACACUCUAUUUUCUACAUUGAUUUUGUCCUAUGGACACAUGUUUGAAAUAUAUAAAGUCAUGCUCUUAGUUUGGGUUAAUAGAUUUUGAUUUAGUAUUAUUAAUGGAUAAAUAAUAGAACCAUUAAAGAUAUAUAAAUAAUAGCUUAAGAAGAAAAGGUAAAUUAUUAGGUACCUAUGAAAAUAUAUUGUCAGCCAAGAAAUAGUAAUGAAGAUUGCCAGCACUGAUGCCCAUUAGGAAAUGAAUGGAUCAAUGGUGUCACCUCUUUGACCAAGCAUCAUACAGAUGUGAUGAUUAAGUGUCAGUUUUAUUGAUCUGUGUCAUUCUCAAGUUUGAGGUUCUUUUUGUUCAUAGAAAAAUUCUCUAAAUUAUGAAAAAGUUAUAAAUUCUUCAUGAUUUGUGUACUAUAAAUCUAGAAAGCAAGAAUCAAUCGCAAUACAUUUUCCUUUUUUUUAAACAUCCGCUGUGCAUUGUACUUCUGAAAAUGGACAUGUUCGAGCUGAUUAACCAUGAUUCCAUGGUCAUGCACCUUAUGAUUGCAUCGCUGUGUUAGAUUCACAGGAACCAAUAAUGGAUGCCCUUGAGCUGAUCUAAGCAUCUUGCAUGGUCAGGAGCCCUAUGGUUGCAUCUGUGUUAGGAGGAUGGAGAACAAUAAUGGGAGCACUUAAGCUGGUUGAAGGAUUCUUCUGUGGUCCUGAGAGCUCUGGCUGCAUUCACGUGUUAGGACUGUGGAGACCAUAAGCAACACAGUGGACCUGAUUUAAGGACCUUUCCUUGAUUGACAGCCUUAGGAUAGGAUCUGUGUUUUAGGAUCCCAGAGAUCUAUGUGAGUAAUAAGCAAAUUCUUUCCUUGGUUUGGAUGUUUUGUUAAGGGUCUUCAUUGUGUUAACAAAAAGAAUUAAAAAUAUUCCAGAAAGUCCAAUGUGUCCUUGUAACAAAUAUGUGAUUAAUAGAAUCACAAUGA